rnacentral:rRNA from 1 species
UACAGGGGGGGCAAGCGUUGUUCGGAAUUACUGGGCGUAAAGGGCUCGUAGGCGGCCAACUAAGUCCGACGUGAAAUCCCAAAGCUUAACUUUGGAACUGCGUCGGAUACUGGAUGGCUUGAAUUCGGGAGAGGGAUGCAGAAUUCCAGGUGUAGCGGUGAAAUGCGUAGAUAUCUGGAGGAACACCGGUGGCGAAGGCGGCAUCCUGGACCAACACUGACACUGAGGAGCGAAAGCCAGGGGAGCAAACGGG